UGAGAGCUUGCUCUCAAGAAGUUAGCGGCGGACGGGUGAGUAACACGUGGGUAACCUGCCCAUAAGACUGGGAUAACUCCGGGAAACCGGGGCUAAUACCGGAUAACAUUUUGAACUGCAUGGUUCGAAAUUGAAAGGCGGCUUCGGCUGUCACUUAUGGAUGGACCCGCGUCGCAUUAGCUAGUUGGUGAGGUAACGGCUCACCAAGGCAACGAUGCGUAGCCGACCUGAGAGGGUGAUCGGCCACACUGGGACUGAGACACGGCCCAGACUCCUACGGGAGGCAGCAGUAGGGAAUCUUCCGCAAUGGACGAAAGUCUGACGGAGCAACGCCGCGUGAGUGAUGAAGGCUUUCGGGUCGUAAAACUCUGUUGUUAGGGAAGAACAAGUGCUAGUUGAAUAAGCUGGCACCUUGACGGUACCUAACCAGAAAGCCACGGCUAACUACGUGCCAGCAGCCGCGGUAAUACGUAGGUGGCAAGCGUUAUCCGGAAUUAUUGGGCGUAAAGCGCGCGCACGUGGUUUCUUAAGUCUGAUGUGAAAGCCCAC
rnacentral:rRNA from 1 species